GGUUUAUAAGUCUAACCUGCCCACUGGGAUCAAACUAAAGGGCCGCGGUAUUUUAACCGUGCGAAGGUAGCAUAGUCACUAGUCUCUUAAUUGGAGGCUUGUAUGAAUGGUUGGACAAGAAGUAAGUUGUCUCAAGUACAAAAAUUGAAUUUGACUUUUAAGUGAAAAGGCUUAAAUAUUUUAAAGGGACGAUAAGACCCUAUAAAGCUUAAUAAUUUAAUAUAUAACCAGAUAAAUUAAAAGUUUAAUAUUCUUUAUAUAUUAAAUUAUUUCGUUGGGGCGACGAUGAUAUAAUUUGUAACUGUUUAAAUUUUAAAUACAGAGAUAUUUGUGUGUAAUGAUCCUUUUUAUUGAUUAAAAAUUUAAGUUACUUUAGGGAUAACAGCGUUAUUUAUUUUGAGAGUUCAUAUCGACAAAAAAGUUUGCGACCUCGAUGUUGAAUUAAAAAUUCGCCAUGGCGUAGGAGUUGUGGAGGUAGGUCUGUUCGACCUUUAAAUUUUUACAUGAUUUGAGUUCAAACCG
rnacentral:rRNA from 1 species